rnacentral:rRNA from 1 species
UACGGAGGGGACUAGCGUUGUUCGGAAUUACUGGGCGUAAAGCGCACGUAGGCGGCUUUGUAAGUCAGGGGUGAAAUCCCGGGGCUCAACCCCGGAACUGCCUUUGAUACUGGGUAUCUCGAGUCCGAGAGAGGUGAGUGGAAUUCCGAGUGUAGAGGUGAAAUUCGUAGAUAUUCGGAGGAACACCAGUGGCGAAGGCGGCUCACUGGCUCGGUACUGACGCUGAGGUGCGAAAGCGUGGGGAGCAAACAGG